AGAACUUAGCAGAGAUGCUUUGGUGGCCUUCGGGGAACUCUGAGACAGGUGCUGCAUGGCUGUCGUCAGCUCGUGUUGUGAAAUGUUGGGUUAAGUCCCGCAACGAGCGCAACCCUUAUCCUUUGUUGCCAGCGGGUUAUGCCGGGAACUCAAAGGAGACUGCCAGUGAUAAACUGGAGGAAGGUGGGGAUGACGUCAAGUCAUCAUGGCCCUUACGAGUAGGGCUACACACGUGCUACAAUGGCGCAUACAAAGAGAAGCGACCUCGCGAGAGCAAGCGGACCUCAUAAAGUGCGUCGUAGUCCGGAUUGGAGCCUGCAACUCGACUCCAUGAAGUCGGAAUCGCUAGUAAUCGUAGAUCAGAAUGCUACGGUGAAUACGUUCCCGGGCCUUGUACACACCGCCCGUCACACCAUGGGAGUGGGUUGCAAAAGAAGUAGGUAGCUUAACCUUCGGGAGGGCGCUUACCACUUUGUGAUUCAUGACUGGGGUGAAGUCGUAACAAGGUAGGCGUAGUGCU
rnacentral:rRNA from 1 species